GGCCAUAUCACUUUGAAACAUCGGCUCCCAUACGAUAACGAAUUUAAGCAACGUUGAUCCUGGUUAGUAGCUAGAUGCGUCACCACUUGGGAAUACCAGGUGCUGCG